rnacentral:rRNA from 1 species
AACCUCCGCAAUGUGAGAAAUCGCGACGGGGGGAUCCCAAGUGCCAUUCUUAACGGGAUGGCUUUUCAUUAGUGUAAAGGGCUUUUGGAAUAAGGGCUGGGCAAGACCGGUGCCAGCCGCCGCGGUAACACCGGCAGCUCUAGUGGUAGCAGUUUUUAUUGGGCCUAAAGCGUCCGUAGCCGGUUUAAUAAGUCUCUGGUGAAAUCCUGUAGCUUAACUGUGGGAAUUGCUGGAGAUACUAUUAGACUUGAGACCGGGAGAGGUUAGAGGUACUCCCAGGGUAGAGGUGAAAUUCUGUAAUCCUGGGAGGACCGCCUGUUGCGAAGGCGUCUAACUGGAACGGUUCUGACGGUGAGGGACGAAAGUUAGGGGCGCGAACCGGAUUAGAUACCCGGGUAGUCCUAACUGUAAACGAUGCGGACUUGGUGUUGGGGUGGCUUUGAGCUGCUCCAGUGCCGAAGGGAAGCUGUUAAGUCCGCCGCCUGGGAAGUACGGUCGCAAGACUGAAACUUAAAGAAGUU